GCUUGCUUUUGAAGUUGGAGAAAGGGAAGUGGUAAACCUGACAGCGGAAGGGAUCCCAGGAAGUGAGUCGAAGGAGUCUACAGGACCAAGGGAAAGUAGCCAUGAAAAGGUCCCAAGAUUCCCCUGCUGGACCGUACUCCAGGAUCUGAUAACUUAGCAAGAUUGAAACCUUUAUGUGUGAAAGUUGGGUGUAUAAAACAAGCCAGCAAUUGGAGCGGCUGGCGUUCCUCUGGAGAAGCUGGGAACUUUGAUAUCUCCAGUGAGCCGGAUAACGAAGAUUUCCACCUGCUAUCCGGGGGGAUCGCGCACCGGCUAUUCCAAGGGAAAUGCGCUACAGGAAGAGUGGGGGGCAGGGCAGGGACAGUCCUCAGCAGCCUUGUUAUUUCAAGUAGAUUUUCCUUCCUGC